UACAGAGGGUGCGAGCGUUAAUCGGAAUUACUGGGCGUAAAGCGUGCGCAGGCGGUUCGCCAAGUCAGGUGUGAAAUCCCCGGGCUUAACCUGGGAAUUGCGCUUGAAACUAGCGGGCUUGAGUGCGGCAGAGGGGGGUGGAAUUCCACGUGUAGCAGUGAAAUGCGUAGAGAUGUGGAGGAACACCGAUGGCGAAGGCAGCCCCCUGGGUCGACACUGACGCUCAUGCACGAAAGCGUGGGGAGCAAACAGG
rnacentral:rRNA from 1 species